UUAUAAAAAUAUAAAUGAAUUGUAUAUAUCUUUUAUAUUAUAUCUAAGAUAUACAAGUAUAUAAAGAGACUAUUAUGGAAAUACGUGCUAUGUAUUAAAGAGAGAAAUUUAACUUAUGUACAUGAAUAAAACAUAUGAACUCUUAGAGAAAUUAUUUAAUAAACGAAGUGAAUUGAAAUAUCUUAUUAACUUCAGGAAAAAAAAUCAAACGAGAUUCUAUGAUUAGUGUGAACUAAAAUAGAGUAGCCUAUAUAAAUAAGUAAAAUGGCCUAAAAGCUGUUUGAAUUUAUGGGGAACCUUCCUCAAAGCCUAAAUAUAAUACAUGAGCGACAGUGAAAAGUACCGUGAGGGAAAAUUUUUUUGAAAUAGUAGUUUUAUAAGCAGCUCAAGCUGAUAAUAAAAAGCAAGAGCGUACCUUUUGCAUAAUGGGUCACCAAGUUAACAUUAGAUGCGAGCUAAUUAUCUUGAUUUGAUAGAUGACAUGCAUAGUUAAACCGAUCAUUAAAAUAAUGAAUAGUGUCUAAAGUUAGACCCGAAGCCUAGUGAUCUUACUAUAGUCAGGGCUAUAAAGGUCCGAACGGGUUAUCGUUGCAAAGAUAUCCGAAGAACUAUGGUAAGCGAGUGAAAGACAACACUGACUAGGAUAGCUGGUUUUCUGCGAAACCUAUAAAAGUAGGCAGUUUAAGUAACAUCUUAGCAGGUACAGAACUUUAUCUCAGACAAGAUGUAUAUUCUCAUAUGGAUAAGUAAGGCGCGGCGCGGCGAAAGCUCUUCCUCGCUAUUUAUCUAUUUAUAUGAAAUACAUUUUAUUUGUAUACAUCGGGGGAUCGUGAAGAUUUUAUCGGUGAGUAUGUAGACUCGGAAUGACAAAGAUGGUUCUUGAAUUAUCGGACAUAGAAUGCUAAGGUUGUAUGUCAAAAGGGAAACAGCCCAGAACAAAGAAAUAGUUAAGGUUCCAAAAUUAUUAUUAAGUGAAAUUAAGAGGGUUUUUAUAUAAGUCGACAAGAAGAUAGGCCUGGAAGCAGCCAUAUUUUAAAGACCUCGUAACAGAGCACUUGUUAAAUCUUAAAAGCAUCGAAAAUUUAUCGGAUCUAAAUAAUAUACCGAAACUUUGUCCACAAAUGACCAUAAUAAAUUAAGUUAUGGUCAUUUUUGUGGGGUAGCAGAACGUUGAGUUAAUAUUUGACUUUUCUUUUUUAAAGAAAAAUAUAGGACAACUCAAGUGAUAAUGGUGACAUGAGUAACAAAAAAGAAGGGCUAUGUAAAUUAUAAUAUAAUAUAAUAUUAUAUUAUAUGUUAAGCUCUCUCGCCUAAAGCUUAUGGAAAGAGUUUUAAAAAAGUAACGGCCUCUAAGUUGAUAAUACUUAUAUUAUUGCGAUGAGAAAAUCUAAUUACUUUAGACAACAUUUAACCUUCAAGGCACGGGCAAGCACCUCGAAAAAUUUAUUUUUUUUGAGGAGCUUGCAACCGCGCCUUGUAGGGAGUGAAAAAUGUGCUGGAAAAAAAAGUAACCGAUCUGAUUUUCUUUAUAAAACUAAGUGGGUGACACUACUCAUGCAUGCAAACUACUGCGUAGUUAAGCCAGCAUGUAGUACGUAGUACCACUCGCUUAAUUAAGGAAAUAGGAGAAGGAAGUACCGUACCUAGAAACUGAAACAAGUAAGCUAGUAGAGAAUACGAAGGCGUAAUGAGGUAACAAUCAUAAAGGAACUCGGCAAACUUACUACCGUAACUUAGGGAU
rnacentral:rRNA from 1 species